AGAGUUUGAUCAUGGCUCAGAUUGAACGCUGGCGGUAUGCUUAACACAUGCAAGUCGAACGGUAACAGGCCUUCGGGCGCUGACGAGUGGCGGACGGGUGAGUAACGCGUAGGAAUCUGCCUCAUAGUGGGGGACAACGUGGGGAAACUCACGCUAAUACCGCAUACGCCCUACGGGGGAAAGCGGGGGGAUCUUCGGACCUCGCGCUAUGAGAUGAGCCUGCGUUAGAUUAGCUAGUUGGUAGGGUAAAGGCCUACCAAGGCGACGAUCUAUAGCUGGUCUGAGAGGACGAUCAGCCACACUGGGACUGAGACACGGCCCAGACUCCUACGGGAGGCAGCAGUGGGGAAUAUUGGACAAUGGGCGCAAGCCUGAUCCAGCAAUACCGCGUGUGUGAAGAAGGCCUUAGGGUUGUAAAGCACUUUCAAUUGGGAGGAAAACCUGCCGGUCAAUACCCGGUAGCUUGACAUUACCUUUAGAAGAAGCACCGGCUAACUCCGUG
rnacentral:rRNA from 1 species